CUACAGGCUUAACACAUGCAAGUCGAGGGGCAUCAGGAAGAAAGCUUGCUUUCUUUGCUGGCGACCGUCGCACGGGUGAGUAACACGUAUCCAACCUGCCCUUUACUCGGGGAUAGCCUUUCGAAAGAAAGAUUAAUACCCGAUGGCAUAAUGAUUCCGCAUGGUUUCAUUAUUAAAGGAUUCCGGUAAAGGAUGGGGAUGCGUUCCAUUAGGUUGUUGGUGAGGUAACGGCUCACCAAGCCUUCGAUGGAUAGGGGUUCUGAGAGGAAGGUCCCCCACAUUGGAACUGAGACACGGUCCAAACUCCUACGGGAGGCAGCAGUGAGGAAUAUUGGUCAAUGGGCGCUAGCCUGAACCAGCCAAGUAGCGUGAAGGAUGAAGGCUCUAUGGGUCGUAAACUUCUUUUAUAUAAGAAUAAAGUGCAGUAUGUAUACUGUUUUGUAUGUAUUAUAUGAAUAAGGAUCGGCUAACUCCGUGCCAGCAGCCGCGGUAAUACGGAGGAUCCGAGCGUUAUCCGGAUUUAUUGGGUUUAAAGGGAGCGUAGGUGGACUGGUAAGUCAGUUGUGAAAGUUUGCGGCUCAACCGUAAAAUUGCAGUUGAUACUGUCAGUCUUGAGUACAGUAGAGGUGGGCGGAAUUCGUGGUGUAGCGGUGAAAUGCUUAGAUAUCACGAAGAACUCCGAUUGCGAAGGCAGCUCACUGGACUGCAACUGACACUGAUGCUCGAAAGUGUGGGUAUCAAACAGGAUUAGAUACCCUGGUAGUCCACACAGUAAACGAUGAAUACUCGCUGUUUGCGAUAUACAGUAAGCGGCCAAGCGAAAGCAUUAAGUAUUCCACCUGGGGAGUACGCCGGCAACGGUGAAACUCAAAGGAAUUGACGGGGGCCCGCACAAGCGGAGGAACAUGUGGUUUAAUUCGAUGAUACGCGAGGAACCUUACCCGGGCUUAAAUUGCAGUGGAAUGAUGUGGAAACAUGUCAGUGAGCAAUCACCGCUGUGAAGGUGCUGCAUGGUUGUCGUCAGCUCGUGCCGUGAGGUGUCGGCUUAAGUGCCAUAACGAGCGCAACCCUUAUCUUUAGUUACUAACAGGUUAUGCUGAGGACUCUAGAGAGACUGCCGUCGUAAGAUGUGAGGAAGGUGGGGAUGACGCCAAAUCAGCACGGCCCUUACGUCCGGGGCUACACACGUGUUACAAUGGGGGGUACAGAAGGCAGCUAGCGGGUGACCGUAUGCUAAUCCCAAAAGCCUCUCUCAGUUCGGAUCGAAGUCUGCAACCCGACUUCGUGAAGCUGGAUUCGCUAGUAAUCGCGCAUCAGCCACGGCGCGGUGAAUACGUUCCCGGGCCUUGUACACACCGCCCGUCAAGCCAUGGGAGCCGGGGGUACCUGAAGUACGUAACCGCAAGGAUCGUCCUAGGGUAAAACUGGUGACUGG
rnacentral:rRNA from 1 species